CCCCUAGAUGUUCUGGGCCGCACGCGCGCUACACUGAUGAAUGCAACGAGCUCUACCCUUGACCGAAAGGCCCGGGUAAACUUGUGAAACUUCAUCGUGAUGGGGAUAGAUUAUUGCAAUUAUUAAUCUUCAACGAGGAAUUCCUAGUAAGCGCGAGUCAUCAGCUCGCGUUGAUUACGUCCCUGCCCUUUGUACACACCGCCCGUCGCUCCUACCGAUUGAAUGGUCCGGUGAAAUCUUCGGAUUGCUGACCAAGAUCCAGCAAUGGAGCUUGGUUGCGAGAAGUUGAUUAAACCUUAUUAUUUAGAGGAAGGAGAAGUCGUAACA
rnacentral:rRNA from 1 species